rnacentral:lncRNA from 1 species
GAGGGCAUUGGUAUUAACACUUCCCUCCUAUCUCCUUUGUGUCUUUCCUAUCUGAGACAGAUGUCAAGGCAAAGUCAUCAUUGAUGCGUGUGUCUCAGCCUUUUUUCUGAGUCAUCAAGGACAGAGCACCUGGGAAAAGAGGUUUGGUCAUUGACUUACCUCUGUCAUUACAACUACAGUUACCUAAAAACUGUACUAAUAAGCUGUUUUUUUCAAGGUAGCUGCUAUCCAACUUAUCCAAGUUUAAGCCAUAAGAAAAUGCAUGGACUUCUGUACCUGAGAAGAAACUGGAAAGAAAAAAAAUAACACAGAAUCCAAGCAUGAGCUGAAGAAACUGGAGCCCCAGGAACUGAAGGGACUUCAGACUGCAGCUAGGCCGUCGUGGACAAGCUGACUUCGAAUCAAAACUAAACCACACUAAACUAAAAUUACACAAAGCAUGAGAUUGAGAUAAGGGGAUGACAAGUAUCCAGCUGCCAUCUGCUAAAUAACGUGAUGAUAAAUAUGGGCUCUAUUGCUCCAAUAACAUUGCCGCAGACUUAUCAGAUCAGAAGCUUUUUGGAUCCAUCUGAAUAAGAGGAGUACCUGAUAGACUUUUCACCUAUGGAAGGGUAAAGAACAAAAUUAUGUGGGUGUUUUC